rnacentral:rRNA from 1 species
UACGAGGGGGGCAAAUGUUGUUCGGAAUCACUGGGCGUAAAGGGAACGUAGGCGGGUUUCUAAGUCAGGUGUUUAAUCCCGGGGCCCAACCCCGGACAGGCACUUGAAACUGGGAAUCUUGAAUAGUGGAGAGGUCAGUGGAAUUGGGGGUGUAGCGGUGGAAUGCGUAGAGAUCCCCAAGAACACCAGUUGCGAAGGCGGCUGACUGGACACAUAUUGACGCUGAGGCUCGAAAGCAUGGGGAGCAAACAGG